CAAUAGGAUGUUAGGACUGUUGAUUCUGCUCUUGGAAAUGGUUAGGAGCCGUUGCGUAAGGACAGAAUGACAGAAGACAGCCAUCAGGACACUGACCGCAGACAAGGAGUGAGAGCCAACAGAGACAGUCACUUUAAACAUAUCUCUGAUGUACAGAAGUCCUGGCAUUCUGCUGUGUUUUUGAACUGAACAGACAUUUUCAUUUGCUCUUCUCCAUGUUUGUGAUGGAUGAAGUUCAGAUGUAGUUUGUCAGUCUAGAGACAUGGAAUCUGUAUCAUAUGACCGGUUUACCACAUCUGAGGCAGAAAUUAAUCAUACGGGCCAAAAGUUUUUACAUGAAUCAGCAGUAAGGGGCGUGUCUACUCAUGAAGCAGAGGAGAGAGCACUCAGUGCACCGGACGGACAUUAGCCGAGCCGAGCGACGACAGAAAGAUAGAGAUGGCGGAUAUAAAACAAAAG